CUAUACCACAUAGUACAUGCUCUGUACUUAAUAUAUAAGGUUUUAAAGGUCAAAAUGCCUUUCUUGCUUUUAAACAGCAAAACACAUUAGCAAUGAAUUAUAAAAUAUUCUAUCCAUAUUUCAGAAUUGUUUUAUGACCUGGCAGAAUAAUGCAUUGAGAUUUUUAUAGUGAAGCAUCCUGCAUAUUUUACUAGUCACUGGUAAAACUUUUAAUUGAUAUUGUCAUUGUUUGCACCAUUUAUACUUGUUGUU